GAAUAUUGGACAAUGGGGGCAACCCUGAUCCAGCCAUGCCGCGUGAGUGAUGAAGGCCUUAGGGUUGUAAAGCUCUUUCAGCGGGGAAGAUGAUGACGGUACCCGCAGAAGAAGCCCCGGCUAACUUCGUGCCAGCAGCCGCGGUAAUACGAAGGGGGCUAGCGUUGUUCGGAAUUACUGGGCGUAAAGCGCACGUAGGCGGCGAGCAUAGUCAGGUGUGAAAGCCCCGGGCUCAACCCGGGAACUGCACUUGAUACUGGCUUGCUAGAGUUCGGGAGAGGAGAGUGGAAUUCCCAGUGUAGAGGUGAAAUUCGUAGAUAUUGGGAAGAACACCAGUGGCGAAGGCGGCUCUCUGGUCCGAUACUGACGCUGAGGUGCGAAAGCGUGGGGAGCAAACAGG
rnacentral:rRNA from 1 species